rnacentral:rRNA from 1 species
AACGAACGCUGGCGGCAUGCCUAACACAUGCAAGUCGAACGGGAUCCAGGCUUCGGCCUGGUGAGAGUGGCGGACGGGUGAGUAACGCGUGGGAACCUGCCCAAUGGUCUGGGAUAACCGCGGGAAACUGCGGCUAAUACCGGAUAAGCCCGAGAGGGGAAAGAUUUAUCGCCGAUGGAGGGGCCCGCGUCCGAUUAGGUAGUUGGUGAGGUAAUGGCUCACCAAGCCGACGAUCGGUAGCUGGUCUGAGAGGAUGAUCAGCCACACUGGGACUGAGAUACGGCCCAGACUCCUACGGGAGGCAGCAGUGGGGAAUAUUGGACAAUGGGGGCAACCCUGAUCCAGCAAUGCCGCGUGAGUGAUGAAGGCCUUAGGGUUGUAAAGCUCUUUUGGCGGGGACGAUGAUGACGGUACCCGCAGAAUAAGCCCCGGCUAACUUCGUGCCAGCCGCCGCAGUAA